UAACACGUAGAUAAUCUAUCCUAUACUGGGGGAUAGCCCGAUGAAAGUUGGAUUAAUACCGCAUAUAGCUAUAUAGUUGCAUGAUUAUGUAGUGAAAGAUUUAUUGGUAUAGGAGGAGUCUGCGGCACAUUAGCUAGUAGGUGAGGUAAAGGCUUACCUAGGCGACGAUGUGUAGCCGGUCUGAGAGGAUGAACGGCCACAAUGGAACUGAGACACGGUCCAAACUCCUACGGAAGGCAGCAG
rnacentral:rRNA from 1 species